rnacentral:rRNA from 1 species
UACGGAAGGCAGCAGUGGGGAAUAUUGCACAAUGGGCGCAAGCCUGAUGCAGCCAUGCCGCGUGUAUGAAGAAGGCCUUCGGGUUGUAAAGUACUUUCAGUCGUGAGGAAGGUGUUAAGGUUAAUAACCUUAGCAAUUGACGUUAGCGACAGAAGAAGCACCGGCUAACUCCGUGCCAGCAGCCGCGGUAAUACGGAGGGUGCGAGCGUUAAUCGGAAUUACUGGGCGUAAAGGGCACGCAGGCGGUUAAUUAAGUUGGAUGUGAAAUCCCCGGGCUUAACCUGGGAAUGGCAUUCAAGACUGGUUUAGCUAGAGUCUUGUAGAGGGGGUAGAAUUCCAUGUGUAGCGGUGAAAUGCGUAGAGAUGUGGAGGAAUACCGGGUGGCGAAGGCGGCCCCUGGGACAAAGACUGACGCUCAUGUGCGAAAGCGUGGGGAGCAAACAGGAUUAGAUACC